rnacentral:lncRNA from 1 species
CAACUACUCAACGAUAAAAAAGAAAGAACAACUGUUACACAGGGCAGCGUGGAGGAAUCUGGAAAACAUUAUAUUGGCUGGGCGCAGUGGCUCACACUGUGUUAGGUGACUUUGACCAACUGUAGGCUAAUGUCAGUGUUGUGGGCAUGUUUAAGGCAGGCUGGGCUAAGCUAUGAUGUUCAGUAGGUUAGGCAUAUUAAAUACAUUUUCAUUUUACAGUAUUUUUAACUUGUAAAGGGUUUAUUGGGAUGAAACUCCACAGCAGGUUGAAGAGCAUCUGUAUAAAGAUCUACAAAUGAAUAAGGAAAAGAUAAAAACCAUAGUGGAAAAAUGGGGAAAGGAUAUAAGCAGAUUCUUCAUGGUAAAAGGAAAUAAAUAAAAUUCAGAGAGGUGAGGGGGAAAAAGAAAAAAAAGGAAAUAAAAAUGAUCACUCAGUAAGAAAAGAUAAGCAAACUCAUAAGCAAUGAGACAAAUUCCCAUUGAAGAGAGAGGUUUUAGCAAAGUGUUAGUACAACAAGUGCCUAUGCUGGGGGUGGGCACAGGCUUUUUGGAGGGUGACUUAGCCCCUGCCCCCCAGCUCAGCAAUUCUACUUCCCAGCGCCUCCCCGUAGAGAGCCUGGCAGAGACCUGCACUGUGGCGGCCACUGCAGUGAGCUGUAACAGCACCGCUGAAAACAGCCUGGAUGUCCAGCAAUAGGGGAUGAGGUAAACCCUGUGGGUUUCCCAUAUAUGCACAGCCUAGUGGCAAUUACAAGGACUGAGGAGGGAAAUGUUUGGCUUUGGGAUGCUGUGUGUCUAUGGAGACAGACUACUCCCCACUGUGCCCUGCAGCAGAGCAGGCUCUCUGGGAGGCACCCUAGCUGUGGAUUCAGGAAGAUGGGGCUGGCUAGAUGUUUCCUGCCCUGCUUGGAGGUUGGCUUCCCCCAUCUCCCACCUGCCCCCAUCCCAACCCAAACCUAACUGCAGUGGUUGGGGAUAAAGGAGAAAAUAAGUCUGGGUGUGAUAGCUCAUGCCUGAAAAUCUAAAACUCUGGGAAGCACAAGCAGGAGGAUAGCUUGAGCCCAGGAGUUCAAGACCAGUGUGGACAACAUAGUGAGACCUCGUCUCUUGAAAAAAAUCAAAACAGGCUGGGUGCGGUGGCUGACGCCUGUAAUCCCAGCACUUUGGGAGGUCAAGGUGGGAGGAUUGCCUGAGCCCAGAAGUAUGCUGGGAUUACAAGUGUGAGCC